rnacentral:other from 1 species
UUAUUCCUGAGAUGUUCGAAUAAACUUUUGUGUUUUGAACCUACAUCUGAUAUAUGGGAGUCCGGCAGUUUGAAAAUGUAGAUCAGGCCUUUUACAAAAUCCGACAUUAGCCUUCAGGCUAAUGCAACGGCAAGGGAAAAUCGAGAAUUUCAGCAGGGCACCCACCUAGUAAAUAGCUAGGAGUCAAAACCUAAAGAACGGCAUUUCGGGAAUUAU